AAAAAGAUAAGCUAAUAUUAAGCUAAUGGGUUCAUACCCCGUAAAUGAAAGUAUACUCUUUCUCUUUUUA
rnacentral:tRNA from 1 species